rnacentral:ncRNA from 13 species
UUUUAUUCUCAGGGCGGGGCGAAAUUCCCCACCGGCGGUAAAUCAAUGUUUGAUAAGCCCGCGAGCGCUUAACUUUAUGGAGUUAAGGUCAGCAGAUCUGGUGAGAAUCCAGAGCCGACGGUUAAAGUCCGGAUGGGAGAGGAUAAUG